UGAGGAAUAUUGGUCAAUGGACGAAAGUCUGAACCAGCCAUGCCGCGUGAAGGAAUAAGGCCCUAUGGGUCGUAAACUUCUUUUGUAUGUGAGCAAUAAGGUCCACGUGUGGUCCGAUGAGAGUAGCAUACGAAUAAGCAUCGGCUAACUCCGUGCCAGCAGCCGCGGUAAUACGGAGGAUGCAAGCGUUAUCCGGAUUCAUUGGGUUUAAAGGGUGCGUAGGCGGCUUGGUAAGUCAGCGGUGAAAUUCCAGUGCUCAACAUUGGCCGUGCCGUUGAUACUGCUGGGCUUGAGUACGUACGGGGCAGGCGGAAUGCGUGGUGUAGCGGUGAAAUGCAUAGAUAUCACGCAGAACCCCGAUCGCGAAGGCAGCCUGCCCAGGCCGUGACUGACACUGAUGCACGAAAGCGUGGGUAUCGAACAGGAUUAGAUACCCUGGUAGU
rnacentral:rRNA from 1 species